AGCAACAAAUGCAGUGGAAGGAGAGGAAGAUGAGCAGAAAGAAACAUGGAGCUUGGAAAGCUCACAGAGAAUCCCAGAAAGAACUGGAGAAAGAUAAAGACUGGAUUUUACUUCUGCAGAGUCACCUGGAGAAGCAUCCUGACAAGGACAGAUUUCAUCAAGAGCAACACCUGUCGGAGUCCAUGCAUCAUGCAUGAAAGAACCUGAUGCUGCUGUGACCACCACCAGGGACCAUGUCAAGGGGAUUCUCCAGGCACCAAAUCUCCAGAGAUGGAAGCUCAGAGGUGAACAUCGGGAUGGAUUGUCCUGCAGAAUCCAGGCUAUGGAAUCAAUGCAGCUUCAGGGAGAAACCCCAGGGGUGAGUCACACCCCAGGCACACAGUGGGCCUCACUGCCAUGUGUGAUGUCACAGCAAGGUAGAUGGGGCGCUCUGGAGAAGAGGUGCAGUUGCUCUAGGAGGUCUGACAGGAUGAAUGACCUCAGCAUCCUGCAAGGAAAUUAUUUCAACAGGGGUCUAGGGCAGUGUCUGAGGGGGAUCCCCAAAGACCAAAGCAAAGUCUCAGCUAUUUCCCCAGUGAAGGUUUGGCAAAAGAGCUCUCAGGAGAUGCAGAAACACUCAGUUAAACCCAUGUUGAGUGACUCAGGAAGUUUCUUAUCCAUGCAUCCAGAGAGGAAACAAUUAGAAAAAAUCCUGGAAGUCCAUCUGGCCAAGAAGGUAAGGCAGAUCAGUGAGGGGAUGAUCCCUGUGAGAGUGCACAAAUCCUGGCUUGCCGCCAACCUUGCUUCAUCCCAACUCAGCGCCCAGAAGGAAUCCAUGAAGCCAGAACUCUUCAAGCACCAGGCAAGCUGCACAAACACCUCCCAUGAGCUCCCUUUCCUAGGUGCAUGUGCUCAACUGGAGCUGGAAGCACAUAUGACCAAGUUUAGGGAAACAGGAAUUGGGGCUUUUUCUUCCAGACCUUUGAGCCCAUAAGCAGUAAGGUUGAGGCACAACCACUGUCCCUUCCAAGGCCUGUCACCCCCUGUUUAGUCACCUGUGAAUCUGGGGCCGAUUCAAAAGCCAAUUCUGCAAAGUUCUUUAGUUAUGUUCCUCAAGCCUCUAGGGAAGAACAGGUGACAUCUAAAAUGUCAGUUUCCAGCACCAAUGAAGAAACCCAAAAGUCCCCGGAAGGGACCCCACAUGUUCUUCUAACUAGACAGGAAGGCAGUCUCUCUUGGUCUGUGAGAAGAACUUGGCAGAGUCAGACUAUAUUUUGUACAGAAAUAGUCACAAAUGGACUGAAUCAGGAGACUGGGGGUCCGAUCACACCAUGCCCAUCUCCGAAGAUAACAACACUGAAAAGAAACUUGGGGACCAUAUAUUUGAGGACUACACAAGAAUUGAAGUUAACGGAGUCAAAGGAAGCCCCUCCCUGCGAAGUCAACUUAGGCUCCAGUAAGUCAGACAGCACCCAAUCAGGUGACGCCAAUCUGAAAACACAGUCUUCCAGGUUCAAUAGUAGUUUCUGAAAACCUACGCUAUCGACUGUUCCAGAUAUAAGAGAGUCCCCAGGGAAGGUGGAACCGGAGAGUGAGCCUUAAUAAGGCCAUGCCACGGAAGUGCUCCCCACAGACUCCUGCACUGAGUGGCUCCUGCUGGACUGCACCAGAGGUGUGCUCUUCCAAGAUUCUCCCACAAAUGUGGAGCUUGCAUCAAAAUCCUUCACCUCUUGUAGGUCACUGUAUGGCAGUAGAAUUUGCCAUGUUUCUUAGGAUCUAGAUGUUGACUGGGCAUCAUUUCCUGCUUCCUCUCUUCUUGAAUCAAUGCUGUUUCAGGGAGGGUGUGUGAGGUGGAAGUUCUUUUUGAGCUUCAACAGUGUGAGGAAUGGUUGGAGGGGGCUGGACUCGAACCCAGAAAUGGGAGAAGUCUUCCCGAAUGUUGGGAGAAUAGAUGACCCUUGCCCAUUGCCCCUUCUCUUCCUGAUGUCAAGGAUUGAGGAUAUGAGUGGGGUGUGGAGGGCAUUGAGGGAGGGACUAAAACUGUGUCCACCUGCCCAGAGGAGGGGAGGCCCUCCUGGCCAGUGGAGCAGGAGUAAACUAUGUGCAGCCCCUCAGACUAUGGAACACAGUAAGAAAAGAGGGUGGGAUAGGGGGUGGAUGCAGGAAGCAAGAUGGCUCAGGGUUGCUCAGAAAUUGCCUGUAGUUCUGGCCCACGACCCUUAGAGAUACCAGCGCAGCUCCCAGGUUCCAGCUCUGUGCUCUGGACCUCACUUGUGUACCGCCCAUUUCCUGCUAUUCUGAACUCUAGGUGCUUGUCCUCUCGUUAGCUCUUUUGGUUUCUUUCAUUACCUCUUAAAAUUCCUCGCUUUAAACACUGUUGAAAACAAAACCAAGUCCUGCAAUUCCUGAGGAAUUCAGAUUUCAGAAGCAAACACAGUGUAACUUAAAAGAAGGAACAAAAGUUGCAGUCAAGUUAUUUAUUAUUCUUUUGGGCAGACAAAGAGAAGGUUUCCUCACCUGGUGAUUAUACUCAUGAUAGUUGUGACGAAAUUGAGUUUCUUUCCUUGUGUUAGUCGAGCUUGUGGGAAAUAACCGUAAGCACUAACACUAAAGUUGAUCAAUUUAAGAAAACUGGAAAGGGAUGAAUUUAAGAAAAGGCUGUGGAGAAACAAUAGAGUCACAGCCAGGGGUACCUCUGGAAUAUGGCGAGGUUACUGUGACCGGAGUGGGGCUCCAAGGUCAUAUGACCAUCAGUCAGACCUGGGGUGAGCAACUGUUUUGGCUCUCCAUAGAUUCAUCAUCUGGACACAAGGAACAGCCUUCCUAGCAUAGGCAGAGGUGGUUAAUAUUCCUCGAAAAUACUCCACACAGUAUAAGUCUGAUCCUUAUUUCUAUAAUGAAUGCUUUAAGAGGUUCAUGUAUAACUUUACCUUAGUCAUGUGCCUGCAUCAUCUAAUGCCACAUACAGUUUUCAGAGUUGGUUAGCAAAAGGUCAAAAUAAGGUUUAUGAUGACAUGUUAAAUUUAUGUCAUGUUUCGAAUGCUUUCUGUAUUGUCUAAUGCUGAGAAAAUGGUGUAAAGACCCUGGGAGAAUAAAGAUUGAUAAUGAGGCCUUGAACUCAGUCCCUACUCCAGUCUCUGUAACUCAGUUCUUUCCACAUCCCAGGUUCACAAGCCCUGAGAUCAACAUAUAGGACAAGGUAUUCCUGGUUUAUAUUUGCUUGUCUGUUUUGCAGCUCUUAAAACUCAAGACCAUCACUUCACAUAAUGAUUCCUCCCUCUCGCAGCCCCCAGAGAGCAGAGCCUCAGACAAGAAUGCCAUCCAGAAAGGCAAUUUUAAAUUUUGGGAUGAGGUCUUAGGGAAAAGGAGUAGACACAUAGGCAAUGAGAAACAAAAAGUGAGUGCGUGUAUGUCUGAGUGUUAGAGGACAAGAGUGGGUGGUCCCACAUGAUGUCACUCUCUAGUAUGCCCUGGCUGUUUAUGAAUAAGUGCUUCUAGACAAAUCUGUGCAUUGGCCCCAAGUCAGGAAGGAAGGAAGGCAUGGUAAGCUGACAUAGGUGCUGGUGGGUGCUCCUGAAUGGAACUGGAGUUACCAUUAAAGGGUCCUAAAACACUUGAGGCAGACCAGACAUGACACACAGCAGCAAAGUCUGUGUUGUCUCAGCAGUCAAGUGGUUUAUGUUUUCUGGUCUGACACUGGCUAACACACUGCUGCUAACAUUUACCCAGACAGUUAAGCUUCAACAAUGCAGUGAGAGCGAUUCUGGAAAAUGGAAGUCAGGGACUAUCUUUCAUUAUUUUAAAACUUUCUGUGAAUAUGCCACAUACACAGUCCUCAGCAUAUCUCAUGGCCUCUCACACUGGUUCCCUCCUCCAACCCUCGCCUGCUGCUCCACUCCCUCUGAUUCGUUGCUGCCCAGCCUCAUGGGCCUCCACCUUCUGCCAGAAAGAGUCUUGACAAUUCUCCAAUCUCAUGACUUAUGGGAAAGUCACUCAGCCUACUGAAGGGCCACCUGUGAAAACCUCCCUCCUCAGACUCUUCCAAUUCUCCACAAGAACAGGAAACAUGGGUUCUGGCAGCCUGAAGGAAGGCCGAGACAAAUAUGGUGUUGGCGGUUUGGAAGGAAAGCGGUCGGGGAGCAAUUGCCAUAAGCAUAGCCCUGGGUCCCAUGGUCGUGGGUACAGUACUGACGUCAUCGGUGAUCCCAUCGGGCACAUAGUGUCCACUCUGUGCAGAAAUGUAAUGCCCAGUGUGGAGGAAUUUCACCAUAAUGCAGUUCCUCGAGUAACACCAUUUUGUUCAGUGUCCAAUCUGUGUACAUUGAUAAGAAAACAACAGGUGACCAGCUCUCAUUAUAGGCCGUUUUUUAAAAAGAUGCAGUUUCCUAGGUCUAUGGCAGAUGGUGGGGGAGGACUCACUGCUCUGGGAAAGUCAAGAUAAUGCACUGGGAAAAUCUGUUAUCACUUCAGGAAGAAAUAAAAUUCAUCUCUUUCAUCAGAAAAGAUAUAAUUGUCAAUGGAAUUAAAGAGGUAACUGUAAAGGACAAACACAAGUAUGGGAAGAAAACACUGCUGGUCCUUUCUAAGCAGGAUAUGAAGCUAGUGUCAGUAAGGGCACAAUGACACUUUAUAAAAUUUAAAAUUUAAACAUCUAGACUAAAAAAACUGGGCAAUGGUAACUCACCCAGGAAAAGGGAAAAUAUGAGAUAUUCAGAAGGUAUACAGGAUUCCUACAGGGCCUCCUCAGUGGCAUAGGGGUCAAAUCUCAGUGCUAUUAUGCUAUCACUAUGGU